rnacentral:lncRNA from 1 species
GAGGGUGAUACUACCAACCUUAUAAGGCUGUAGUGAAGAUUAAAGGAAGUAACAUGUACCAACGGCUUAUGACCGAGCCAGGCACAAGGCAGCGUUCAAUGAUGCAAGCAGAGGAAGAAGGGAACAGCUGGGGCUUCCUGCCCGUUUCCUCUGUCCUAACAGCUCCUUUUUGCAGACACUGGGAAUCAAAACCAAAACGCAUGCAACCUUCCACCUUGAAGAACAGCACCACAUCAUCUCUUUGCUAAGCCUGAUUCCCGUUUUCUGGAUAGGAAACUGACACACAAAGUAUCUCCAGAAUCAUAUCAGAGGGACCGCUUCAUCUUCUGCCAUGACUGGAAGCUUCCUGAGGCCCUCAACAGAAGCAGAUGCUGGCACUAUGCUUCAUGUACAGCCUACAGAACCAUGAGCCAAAUAAAUCUCCUUUCUUUAUAAAUUA